rnacentral:lncRNA from 1 species
UAGAAAAAUUUAGAAUUAGAGUUUUUAUUUUUGCAUUACGUAUUUCUUCUCAAUUUUCGCAAAACAAGUCUAAAGAACGAAUAAGAAUAUUGUUGGCAUAAAUAACGAGGUCCAUAAUGCUGUUGGCAAUUUCCAAUCGCUGCAACAUCUAAUUAAUAUAUAUAUAUAUAUGUUUUCAUGUUACAAUUUCAUACACAGUUAAUCUUUUUGAAAACCGUACGGUGACCCAUGGUUAAUGACAAUUACGCUGUAAGCUGGCUAGUUGAUAACUGGUUUUUCCAUGCUUCGACUUAUUCUUGUGUUAAUGUGAACUUGUUUUUUUAUCAUCUUAAUUACGUGUUUUAGUGUUCUUUUCAUUUGACUUUGGAUGUAUUUUCCCUUUACUGUUUAGUCAAAUUUUUGUCAUAUCUUAUUUGCAAG